rnacentral:rRNA from 1 species
CCUACUGGGGGCAGCAGUGAGGAAUAUUGGUCAAUGGUCGAGAGGCUGAACCAGCCAAGUCGCGUGAGGGAAGACGGCCCUACGGGUUGUAAACCUCUUUUGUCCGGGAGUAAAGUGAAUCACGUGUGGUUUUUUGUGAGUACCCGAUGAAAAAGGAUCGGCUAAGUCCGUACCAGCAGCCGCGGUAAUACGGAGGAUGCGAGCGUUAUCCGGAUUUAUUGGGUUUAAAGGGUGCGCAGGCGGAGGUGCAAGCCUGCGGUCAAAUUACGGGGCUCAACCCUGUACUGCGGUUGGAACUGGAUCCCUUGAGUGCGCGAAAAGUAUGCGGAAUUCGUGGUGUAGCGGUGAAAUGCAUAGAUAUCACGCAGAACUCCGAUUGCGAAGGCAGCAUACGGCCGCGCAACUGACGCUGAUGCACGAAGGCGUGGGUAUCGAACAGGAUUAGAUACCCGAGUAGUC